CAGACAGUGGGGGCUGAAGGUGAAAAUUACAGUUCCAGGGACUAAGUUUUACCCAUUACGGUAUUACACAGUAAGGUAGGAACCAGCAGAAGAAGCAACACUAUGUCUUACAAGAGAAGCUGGAGCUUUGUUUAUGGUAUUGAAGAACUGGAGGUAGACCCUUCCUUCUGAGAGAUCCUGUUGUCUCAGCAGAACAAAGAUGUGCUCCUUUCAAUCAAAAGAGAAGGCCGGACUAUGACCAUUUCCAGCAUGCCUGCUUUCAGGGUGCCCUUCUUGCCCUGUGGAGUUUUAUAAAAGGUCGUUUAGGGAUCCCCAGUCUAAUUUUGCCCUGGACUGGCCCCUGGCUGCCUUCCCUGGCUCUGGAUCCCAUCCCAGGGCUGGAUAUAGCUUGCAAUUCCGAAUAACACACAUACUCAGUUGCACAGAUCAAUGAUAUCCUGAUGGACAGGCCAGGGAGGGGGUAGAAUUUCCCAGGUUUCUCCACAGAUGGGCUGUGCCUCUGAGGAAUCUCCAGAAAGACCUGGGAUCAUCAGGAAGCCAUUCACUACAGUCUACAGCACCAGAAGAAUAGACAAAAAUGCUGUAUGAAGCAGAGUGGAAUGACAGGCUUGUGCCACAUGCCAGGGAGCAGUCAGUGACUGAGGCGCCUCCCUGACAGCCCAGAAUAUCAGAGGAUCUGGGUAUGGAGAGGAAAUGUCACUGUAUUGAUCCAUUCCUUCUGUUUUGUGUUCUGUUAAUACCACAGUACUCCUUAUUCGAGCUUACGUAUGGGUAGCACGGGGGACCGUGACAACACAGCUGAGGCUGCUGACGCCAGCGAAGGUGGGAGGGAAGAACAUACAUUGAAGGGAGAGAAGAAUCUGUGGCAGUGCCACCUUCUGAUUUUGUGCAAUCCAGGAAAACUAAGAUACUCUUGCUGACAGUGCCAGCUUUUAGCAGUGACUGCACAAUUACAGGACACUGUAUUAGAAUUUAUGUUAAAGCUUAAUUUUGGAUUUCACCUCUUAUUUUUUCCUUUGCCUGUCAUCUUGAAAUGUAUUUAUUUCCCUUAACACCUGAGCACUCUGGAAAAACUUGUCCCUGUACUCGACAUGAUCAGGGAAUGCAGAGGCAAUGUCAAAUGAUUUCUGCAAACAGGAAAUUCUUAGCAAGUCCAAUUUUUGUAAAAGUCUUUGAAUUUGUAAGCCAGUGACGUAGGAAGUUUUUUUCAGGCUUGCUGAGUGCACUGUUUUCCUGUAGUCCCAGUUAAAUACUGUGAAUGAAGGUUGCCAUAGUUACAGCAGGGUUCAGAAUUUAGCUCUAUUGUAUUGUAAUUCUGGUUUCUUAUCUCACUGUUCCUGCUCUGGGACAAUGAAAGACACAUUACCAUAUCUGUAAUUAACCAUGAUGCAAAAUAUUUUGUUCAUUAAUUUAAAAAUGCUUGAGCAAAUGUGGGAGAAGAGUCAUUUUCCAUUCUCUCAUGUUCACCAAAAGCAACAUGGCACUUCCUGCACCCACUGAGCAUACCUUCUGUGCAUAACUUUAGCUUAGACCUUAAAAUCUAGUUUGGUAUUUUAAUUCAUUGCAAAAAUGUACACCACAAAGUAAACAGGUACGCCCAUGUCUUUGUUUUAUAAAGGAUAUAUUACGUGUAAAGACCUGCAUUAAAUUGGUGUUUAUAAAAGGUCCCAGUGUGCCUGGAGUCAGCAGGUCUCAACACUGACAUCUGGGUGGUUUGGAUCAGAUCUCAAGAUGGUGGCUGAUAAGCAGGAAUUGUCAGAGACUCCAUGUAAUAUCUCCUGAAAAGUGAAUGCCUUCUCCUCUAGAUGAGGAAUGACAAGCUGCUUGCUACCACAUCAGAAAUGACACAUGAAUAAUUGGUGAUGAUUCAGGAAUGUUUUCAGGGUCCUGGGUCACUACAAAGCAGAUUGGGAGCCAAGUCAUGUUGCCCCACAGCUAGGGCUUGGCACAUCUGUGUCUGCUCCAUGCUCACCGGUGAGAGCAGUGCCCACUCUGGGCUGCUGCUGCUCAUGGGUAUGAGUGGGGAACAGAGCAGUGGCUUAGCAAUGCAGCUGCAAUGAUAUAUCCUCACCAUGCUCCUGCUUUCUGCCACUGCAUCUGUCACCCACAGCCACUCCUUCCUUGAGCCCACUGUUAUGUUCUAUGAAGCCUUUGCCAGGACAUUGUGACUCCCACAGCUGGAAACAGAGAACUGUUCAGUUUUUUUUUCUCAUUGCCUUCGAUAGUGCUGGUUCAGUGAGUUGAAUCUGCCCAGAGGGGAGGCAAAGGGCUGCUGGGUUGGGGUGAUGGGAGCCACUGACUCCUGGGGAGAAGCAAGGGAAGCAGGUCUGCCUCUACUCUUGGCUCCAUUUUAUAAUCAAGCUGUGCCUUUUGAGCUGAAAGGUAUGUAUUGCCAUGGGAUUUGUUAAGUAAUCAGCAUCACUUCCUUAACACAGUAGUGAGAAUAAAUACGCUCUGUUCUCCUGAGAUGGUGGGUGUGAGAGCACAUCCACAGUGUGAGAGGGAGCAGAGCCUCCUGUGAACAUUUUCCUGGGAUUUUCUUUCCAGACAGGAAAAAGGCACUUGCGUACCUUACAGAAGGGGUCUGCUGGACAUUUGGCACAAACCACCAUAAACUGACAUGAAGAGGGCUUUGUUUUGAACAUGCUAGUUGAUGCAAUGCUGGUGGAACAUUAAGGAAAACCAGCAUUUACCAUGCUUUAAUAGAAAAUCAAUCUCUCAGAUUUUAUGCACAUCACAUCCCCAUAGUGGACAUAAUGAAAUAUGCAUUUCAUGCCUGUAGUGAAGUACAUCUUCAGUUCACUUGCAGCCUGUGAACUGUGAUGGCAUAUGCUUGGCUGAGCAUUGCUGCUGACUGGUUGCUGUGCAAGGAUGCCUUAUGCCGGGGGCUGAGCCGCCUGGUGACUCACUGGAGUAGAACGCACACGAGAAAAGCUCAUUUCCCCAGUUACUCAGAGGUGAAGUAUUUUUGGAUCCCCGCCUGGUUUGUGCUAGGAAUACUGAGGAUGUUUCUGUUUUUCUGAUAAAGUUCCCUUAAGGCAGACCGAGAGAGAUCAUUGCUGCAGUUAGUACAGAAUUCUCUCAGCUGACUUUUCCUUUCAAAAUCAGUCUGCAUGGCUCUGCCUGAAACGCACCUU